rnacentral:rRNA from 1 species
GAAUAUUGGUCAAUGGGCGGAAGCCUGAACCAGCCAUGCCGCGUGCAGGAAGACUGCCCUAUGGGUUGUAAACUGCUUUUACACGGGAAUAACCGCCGCUACGCGUAGCGGCCUGAACGUACCGUGGGAAUAAGGAUCGGCUAACUCCGUGCCAGCAGCCGCGGUAAUACGGAGGAUCCAAGCGUUAUCCGGAAUCAUUGGGUUUAAAGGGUCCGUAGGCGGGACAAUAAGUCAGUGGUGAAAGUCUGCAGCUUAACUGUAGAAUUGCCGUUGAAACUGUUGUUCUUGAGUAAUUAUGAAGUGGUUAGAAUAUGUAGUGUAGCGGUGAAAUGCAUAGAUAUUACAUAGAAUACCGAUUGCGAAGGCAGAUCACUAAUAAUUCACUGACGCUGAUGGACGAAAGCGUAGGUAGCGAACAG